rnacentral:ncRNA from 1 species
AAAAAGUUUUAUUUUAGCUUAAGAUAUUAAUUUAUAAUUUUUUUACAUGUAAAUUAUAGUUAGAAUAAUUUUUUAUUUAAAAAAUAUUAAAUUUAUUUUUAUUCGCAGUUUAUAAAUUUUUAUAUUUAAGAAAUUAUGAUUAAGAAAUUUAUUUUAAUAUUAACAAAAUUUGUGCCAGCAGUUGCGGUUAUACAGAUAAUAUAAUUAAUAUUUAGUAAUUAGUAAUUAAAUGUUUUAUGAUAAUAAAAAUUUAAAUUUAUUAAGUGAAAUUUUAAAUUUAAUUUAAAUUAUAAUAAAUUAUUUGAAGUUAUUAAAUUUUUUUAUAAACUAGGAUUAGAUACCCUAUUAUUUGAAAUGUAAAUUUAUUAUUAAAUUAGUAUUAGUUAUUUUCUUGAAAAUUAAAAAAUUUGGCGGUAUUUUAGUCUUUUCAGAGGAACCUGUUCUAUAAUCGAUAUUCCACGAUUAAUUGAACUUAUUUUAAUUAGUUUAUAUAUCGUCGUAGUUGAAUAUUUUAUAAGAAAUUAAAAUAUUCAAGAUUUUAUAUUAUAAAUUAAAUCAGAUCAAGGUAUAGCUUAUAAAUAAGAAGAAAUGGGUUACAAUAAAUUUAUUUAAAUGGAUUUUAUUAUGAAAUAUUUAAUUGAAAGUGGAUUUGAAAGUAAUAUAAUUAAGUUUAAUUAUAUGAUUUGAGCUCUAAAAUAUGUACAUAUCGCCCGUCACUUUCGUAUAAAAUGAAAUAAGUCGUAACAAAGUAGAUGUACUGGAAAGUGUAUCUAGAAUGA